rnacentral:lncRNA from 1 species
GCAGAGGACCGGAGGUCUUGCUUUCUGGAAUACUCUGGUCCUUAAGCUCUUUCACCUCAUCUUUCCAUGUAUCCAUCCGUCCACUCCUCAACCCCAUGAACACUGAUGACAGGUAGACAGGGGAUGCCACUGAGACUUGAGGGACGAGGUCAUGAAGCAGAAGGAGGAAGAGCCACAAUCCAGGCAGAGGAAGCCACAUGGGCCCAGCCUAGAAAGGGCCACUUGGGCGGAGCCUGUCGGGAAGGGUCUCGAAUGCCUGGCCUCCCUCCCAGGCGCCCCUCCACCAUGCAGAGCACCUGCGUGCAGAACACCAGGAAAUGCUGAUGGGUUUUCACACAUUUUCAAUGAAUUCUGGGAUAAAUCCGAUAUCAUCUUAUACUAUAUUCUAAUACAGCCAAGGGGUACCUGGGCCGAAAGGCCUAAGACAAAGUGAGGGGAAAAAAACACUUAAAAUGGAAAGUAUGCCAUCAAUUAGCUUCAUUUUCCUCCGCCAACCACAAAAAGACCAUCACUGGUUCCUAUUAGCAACGGCCCGGCUUGGGGAACACCUGUUUUCGGCUGCACAUCGUUGGUAUGGGCCAAAGGGAGGUGUUCCAUGGCCUCAAUCAGGCAGGGACAUGAUGAGAUUUGCGCUUUGGAAAGGUCACCACGGCUGCAGGGGUAGAGGGUGAAGGAAGGGAAGGGGUUGUCUGUUGAGCUAUGGGAGAAACACACACGAUGAGAAUUCGCAUUGGGCAGAAUUCGUGGAGGCUGCAUUCCUUGAAGGCAAGAGUUUUGCUCCGCGUCGGCCCUUUUAGCAGUGCCUGGCAAGAGCUAGGCACAGCCCGCUGCUGGAUUUUUUUUUAAGAAAUGCUUCUGGAAUUGAAUUGUCUGCUAUAAAAACCUAAUGGAGUCUGGACAAAACUUGCCUCUCUCCAGCCACUCUCUGCUCAAGGCAGACAGGGCUAGGGAGUUUCCAGAGGUUGGACAUACUCAAGGUUUUAAGGAGCUAUUUGGGGAGACAGAACACAAAGCUCCUGUUUCCGAAAUCUGGCCAGAAUUUGCCUGUUAUGUCAGAUCUGUGCAGAUGAGGCAUUUAUUAGCCUCAUCGGCUUCUGCUGCUUACCUGGAUAAAAGAAUGGCCAGCUCUCUUCCAAGAGAUGCUAGGAAGGCCCAAGUUAAAAGGUGACCAUUUGAGGCUGUUUAAACCCUUUUUACACCUGCAAGCACAUUGUCAACACAUCUGGAUUCCUAAGCCACAGAGGAAGAAUCUCGAAAUGUAUUCAGAGACCCCUGCCCCCUCGGCUCCCACCCCGCGCCCUACGCUUUAGAGUCUGCCGUGGCACCUUACGUGAGCUUUGUGUCAGCAGGAUGGCCGCUGAAAGAAACCACAGUGCCCACGCACCGAUCACUUGCGGUGCGCUGGCCCCGAGCAGGAUCUGCACGAGCCCCAUCUCAUCUAACCUUCUUUGCUGAACGGUGUGCAUCUUGCACUGCUGACCCAUUUUGUCUCUCACCACUAGCCUGUCAGCACUUGAAAACCUUCCCCUGGCCCUGCCAUUGCCUGGCUUCAGCCGGGGAAGUCCAUGUUUAUGGUUCAAGAUGACAAGAAGACAAUGAAACACUUGUCUCCAAAAGCAACUUCUGGGAUCCACAGGCAGAACAUUAGAAAGUGGGUACAAAGCCCAAGAAACAGGACACCCGGGCUCUUUGAGCUUGGGGAGUAUUACAGAAUCCCGUCCCAGGCCAAGAAUGAGUCACAAUGAAAGCUUUUAAAAUCUAAAACCAUCAACCUAGAUUUCAAUUCCAAGGAAACACAUACUUGGCCAUGAGGGGAAAAAAAAAAAAAAAUCAGGCUUAAGCCACUUGACAGGAAAAUAAAACAGCCAAGGAACAUUCAAAUAUAAUGAUUAACAUCCUCCCCUGCCCCCCUCCCCUCCCCUCUGCUCCCUUCCCUUCCAGCAUGGGUCAGGGUGUUCACGGACUGGACUCGAUCCCCACCUGCCUGCAUGCCCUGGCCAGGGCUCCCAUUUCACUGAACACUAGUUCACACACACGAUCUUGUGCCUGGACGCGGCCGGGUUAUAACUGCACCGGUGCUGCCUUUGGGUUGCUAUGCCAAUCUCAUGGAUUCUUCAUGAACUCCCUGCUCUGGGGCUCUUGGGUGGCUUGAGGUGGCUGUUUUGGGAAUACGAGGAUUUUUCUUCCAUUAUUUAUGUGGGCAAGCGCCGUUCACUUCUCUCAAAGAAAUGGAAGCUUGAUUGAUUUCCUAAAUGUAGGAACGAGAUUGUCGUGCAAUAAAUAUUUAAGACUGACCAGGAAGGACGACCACCAUCUGCUGAAACACAAAGCCCAGGAAGGGCUCCGUUAAGCAUUAGCGCGAAGGGAAUGAAUGCAUAAGCACCCUAUAUAAUAUUUGCUCAGCACCCGCUAGUUUACAAAGGUUUUUCACUCAUCUCAUUGGAUCUGCACAAUAGCCCAGGGCACGGAUUACAAGGCUUAUUAAAACCUCACAUUUUGCCUUUCCUAACGGCUCAGGGCGCUAAAGGCUUAAAAAGUCACUUGCGGGAGGUCAGAGAGUUUGGGGACCGAAUCUCGGGUCUCAAAGUCGUGCGUGCACCUAUUUAAAAAACAUUUAUCCGGAGCCUCGUCCCAAAUAGACGAGAUGGCAGAGGGUACAAAGAUGAAUAAAACACGGUGCCGGAGCAGGAGGAAGAUCGCGCUCCAGCCCGGGGGAGACACAGCCAGAAGUAAACAUGUCCCCGCUUUCAGGGUGAUGAGCGCGGGAGAGAAAGGAACAGACGCGGAUCUCGUUUCUAAUCUGAUGUCUGAUGUUCUCUCCGAAACACCGGCUCGGUUGUUGACAAUAACUGUCCUCCGAAGAGGGGAGAAGGGGCUUAGCCGUGCGCCCCAAGCCGGGUCUCCCGGCGGGAGACCGCUCACGGGGUGGGGACAGGACUCGCCCGCUUUCGGCAAAUAUUUCCCGGGGUGCCGAGCUCAGCUGGGGGUCCGCACACAGGCUCCCCACGUUUUCCCUCCAUGAGGGUCUCUGCCUUAAGAGCAGCGUCUUCAUCCAGCUGCAGCCUCCCGCUCGGCGAGGCAGGCAGCUCGCUGUCCGCGGUGACACGCGGCGGCGAGACGGCUGCGAGGUUUUGUCUCGCCCGAGCAUCGUCCACCGCCCGCGGAAGUCCGCGAACGAGCGCCCCUUCCCCGCUCAUCUCCUUCUCCCACCGCCCGGGCUCUGGAAACCACGGCCCCUUCCUCGAAACGAACGCGCCAGCCCUGCUCUCCGGUUCUCCCGUUUCCUUUAUUUUAUGCAUUUCGAUAUUUCCCUCCCGAAGAUAUGCUUCACACUGAUUUUUAGUUACACGACGGAUGCACAGAAACAUUCUCCUUUGGGGACAAAAAAUGAUAUAUGUGUAUAUACACUGGGUCGCCAGCUAUCCGGCGGAGCCCCGGCGGGACCCCGCCUGGCGCCCCGCGGGUACGGCUGACAGCCGCGCGCGGCUUUCCGCGCCGCCCGGGCGGGCGCCCUUUGUGAGCGCCGACACCGGCUUUUGUUUCCCGUUUUGCUUGCUUUCUUUCUGCAAGCCCGGCUCUUAGUACGCGGGAAACACUCGGGAAAUACACACGUGUGUGUAAAGUUUGUUUAAUGCAGGAACAAAUGCGGGGAUGGGGGCCGUUCCCGGGUUGCAGGGCGAUUUUCCUUUGUUAAGACCCGGUUCGCGAGCGUUGCCCGGCAGCCCCGCGGUGGUCUCGGCUCGCCGGGGUAGGGGAAACCCGUCCUGCCGGAGCCCCGAGCCCGGGGAAGGCGAGGCCGUUCCGCGAUCCCGACCCGCUCAGGCCCGCGCGCCCAGCCCAGGCCGCUUCUGGCUUGGGCUUCGGCUCGGGGGCGCCCAUAGGGUAACCUCCUGCCACCGGUGGGGUGGCCUUGGGCGGCUCGUGGCGUGGCCCCGGGGCCAGACACCCCGCAGGACUCUGGCCUCCCUUGCGGGGUGACCGCAGGGCCGCUGCCCGCCGCGUUCGGGCUCGGGUAGCUGGAUCCCAACGCGCUCAAGCGGAGCCCCCUCCCGAAUCCCGCCUAUCCGGACACCCAACAGAGUGUCGGGGUCGUGGGGGGUCUCCCGGACCCGAUCCGACUGCGGGAAAACGAGCCGGGGGCGCCGGGGGCGCGGGGCCAGGCUUGGCACGCGGGCCCAGGGGGUAGGGAAAAGUUGUUGGGGGCGGGGGGCUGUCGAAGUUUCGGGGAACUUUUCCACUUGAGAUUCUACAACCCUGCAGUGCCCCCUACAGAAAGCUGCAGCCGGGGAGGGCGGGCGCCCCCCACGACCCCCCCGGCUGCCAGCAGCGGCGCGGCCCAGGCGGCCUGGAGCUCUAGCUGUAGCUUUGGCAUUUUUUUUUUACCCCCCCUCCUGGUUGUUUUUCUGAUACAUCUUUUUUUUUCAGAAU